rnacentral:lncRNA from 1 species
GGCAUGGCGAAUCCAGGCCUGACACUGGUCUGACGUGAUGUCAUUGCAUGCGCCAUCCAUAGCCUGGAGAAGGGUGGCUUGUUCGUGAGGCCGCCUAUCAUAUACCUUCCACCUCCAUGUAGAGAAAAAUUCCUCAAUCUGGUUAAGGAAAGGAGAGUAUGAGGGAUGGCUACAGGCCCAGAGGGGAUUGUUGUGGAAGAUGAGCAGGCAGCCAGCAGGGAUUCUAACAUCAGCCAAGCACAGGAGGAGACCAAACAGACAGAGAGAGAGGAGCAGCGCUGUAGCAGAGAGAUAAUGGCCGC